rnacentral:lncRNA from 1 species
AACAAAAUAAUAGACUUUGGAAAGGUGAUUCAAUGAAUAAACAUGAAACGUUCACCGUACAUUAAUUAAGCAUCCUUUUCGACCACCCUGACUUGUUCUCUCAUCACAUCUUGAUAACCAUUUACACGAGAGAUUUAAAUGAAGAAGAAUGAAAAAUUCACUUUGACGAGUCUUGGAACCCCUAACUUGGAAAGGCACAGAUCAUGAUUGCUACAAAAGCAUUUGCACUCGGUUUCAGCUAUAGGAAGUGUGAUUGGUCGUACAUGAUGGAUUGACAUUCUCGUCUAUUUGGAUCACAUACAGAAGACAAGCCAAGUCAGAGCAGACAAUACGUAUGCGAUUGAGACAUUAUUUUUGUGAAAUUUAUGAUUCUUCCACAUGUUUGAAUGAUGUAGAAGAUGUACAGGAAACUUUUAAUGAUGAUACGAUAUCGGUUCAAUCACAAUUCAUAAGCGAAACGAAUGCCAAAUACUAAUACUAUAUAUCCAUGAAUCAUUUACCAAUAGUAUUUUUACUGUUCGUGAAUGCUGAGAAAGUUUAUGUCUAAUGUAUUAGCUGUGUCAACCAUUUAUAGUGUGAAGCCACUUUCCACUUGCAACGCUAAGGAUACCGAGACGCAGGAUACCUAGACGCAUAAAUACAUUAUGCUAGUGGCACGGCCAAAAUUAUUUACUCCAAAGUCUUUAUCCUCUUCGUUUAUAUCGCUAACAAGAAAUCGUAGUCACAAAUGUACAUACGUUGAAACAUUUGAACAACGUACAACAAGCCAAUAAUGACAAGAAUGGAGAUGAAAGUGGUGAUGGUUAGUGGUAGUCGUGGUAGUAAUGGAAGUGGUAAGUGGAAGUGGUGGUGGUAGUGGUAGUGGUAGUGGUGCUGUGCUGAUGCUGGCGCCGAUACUGGUGAUGAUGUUGAUGCCUAUACUGACACUAGUACUGACACUAGAUGACACUAGUACUGGUACUAAUGGUACCAUUCAACUUGGCAAGUAUAAGACUUAUGUGUGUAAGUGGUAAAAAAUCAAUGAGUAAACUCCACUAAGAAAAUUUCACAACUCCGUUGAUUCUUUUGAGUAUACAAACAUGAACGUUCAAGUUUUACCUUUGUUAAUUCAAUUCUAAUUAUACUGGUUUGUACUUGCUAAGCAUGUCCUGUUCACUUCUCUAAUUCGUUUCAAUUGCGGCAACUCUGGUCCGAUUUAUAACUCGAAGAACUGAGUUUUUACCCUUUGGAUAAAGUUUUUCAACAUACUUACAAUGAUUAUGGUCUCCACUCCUGACGUAGUUCCAUGUGGUAAUAGAACACAAACUUCAAAAUCUCAUCACUAUAUUAUACUUGGUACAACAUGCAAUACCGAUUGUAUAUACCGAAUACAGUUUCCUAUUGCAAUGAAUGUGAUUUAAUCAUUUUAUGGGAGUUUUUUCAUUCAAAACUGCUUUAAAUCUAAAAACUCUUCUUUAUUCUUGACACUCGUAUAUGUUGUCUGAUAUUCCUAUUCGUGUUUCAAUAACGAAGUUUACUUUCAUUCAAAUAAAUAGAACCAAUCAAGUUUACUAGUGCUUAUUUUUUUCUUUUUUAAUAAAAAGAAUGAAUAUUAGGUGUAUGAUAUGAAUACGUUUUUGUUUGUUUGUUUGCAAAUUAAAAUUAAAAACAACAAAAAAUUAAAGCUACUGAUUUAACUUUGCUUAUUCCAUAACACUUCUUACUCAAUCUCACAUA